UAGAGUUUGAUCAUGGCUCAGGAUGAACGCUAGCGGCAGGCCUAACACAUGCAAGUCGAGGGGUAUAUAGUGCUUGCACUGUAGAGACCGGCGCACGGGUGCGUAACGCGUAUGCAAUCUACCCAUUGCAGGGGAAUAGCCCAGAGAAAUUUGGAUUAAUGCCCCAUAGUAUUAUUGAUAGGCAUCUAUUAAUAAUUAAAGAUUUAUCGGCAAUAGAUGGGCAUGCGUACUAUUAGCUAGUUGGUGUGGUAACGGCACACCAAGGCUACGAUAGUUAGGGGCCCUGAGAGGGGGAUCCCCCACACUGGUACUGAGACACGGACCAGACUCCUACGGGAGGCAGCAGUGAGGAAUAUUGGACAAUGGUGGGAACACUGAUCCAGCCAUGCCGCGUGCAGGAAGACUGCCCUAUGGGUUGUAAACUGCUUUUAUACGGGAAGAAACACCUCUACGUGUAGAGAUUUGACUGUACCGUAAGAAUAAGGAUCGGCUAACUCCGUGCCAGCAGCCGCGGUAAUACGGAGGAUCCGAGCGUUAUCCGGAAUCAUUGGGUUUAAAGGGUCCGUAGCGGGCUUGUAAGUCAGUGGUGAAAUCCGGCAGCUUAACUGUCGAACUGCCAUUGAUACUGUGAGCCUUGAAUUACUAUGAAGUGGUUAGAAUAUGUAGUGUAGCGGUGAAAUGCUUAGAUAUUACAUGGAAUACCAUUGCGAAGGCAGAUCACUAUAGUACAUUGACGCUGAGGGACGAAAGCGUGGGUAGCGAAAGGAUUAGAUACCCUGGUAGC
rnacentral:rRNA from 1 species